AGAGUUUGAUCAUGGCUCAGAUUGAACGCUGGCGGCAGGCCUAACACAUGCAAGUCGAACGGUAACAGGAAGAAGCUUGCUUCUUUGCUGACGAGUGGCGGACGGGUGAGUAAUGUCUGGGAAACUGCCUGAUGGAGGGGGAUAACUACUGGAAACGGUAGCUAAUACCGCAUAACGUCGCAAGACCAAAGAGGGGGACCUUCGGGCCUCUUGCCAUCGGAUGUGCCCAGAUGGGAUUAGCUUGUUGGUGGGGUAACGGCUCACCAAGGCGACGAUCCCUAGCUGGUCUGAGAGGAUGACCAGCCACACUGGAACUGAGACACGGUCCAGACUCCUACGGGAGGCAGCAGUGGGGAAUAUUGCACAAUGGGCGCAAGCCUGAUGCAGCCAUGCCGCGUGUAUGAAGAAGGCCUUCGGGUUGUAAAGUACUUUCAGCGGGGAGGAAGGGAGUAAAGUUAAUACCUUUGCUCAUUGACGUUACCCGCAGAAGAAGCACCGGCUAACUCCGUGCCAGCAGCCGCGGUAAUACGGAGGGUGCAAGCGUUAAUCGGAAUUACUGGGCGUAAAGCGCACGCAGGCGGUUUGUUAAGUCAGAUGUGAAAUCCCCGGGCUCAACCUGGGAACUGCAUCUGAUACUGGCAAGCUUGAGUCUCGUAGAGGGGGGUAGAAUUCCAGGUGUAGCGGUGAAAUGCGUAGAGAUCUGGAGGAAUACCGGUGGCGAAGGCGGCCCCCUGGACGAAGACUGACGCUCAGGUGCGAAAGCGUGGGGAGCAAACAGGAUUAGAUACCCUGGUAGUCCACGCCGUAAACGAUGUCGACUUGGAGGUUGUGCCCUUGAGGCGUGGCUUCCGGAGCUAACGCGUUAAGUCGACCGCCUGGGGAGUACGGCCGCAAGGUUAAAACUCAAAUGAAUUGACGGGGGCCCGCACAAGCGGUGGAGCAUGUGGUUUAAUUCGAUGCAACGCGAAGAACCUUACCUGGUCUUGACAUCCACGGAAGUUUUCAGAGAUGAGAAUGUGCCUUCGGGAACCGUGAGACAGGUGCUGCAUGGCUGUCGUCAGCUCGUGUUGUGAAAUGUUGGGUUAAGUCCCGCAACGAGCGCAACCCUUAUCCUUUGUUGCCAGCGGUCCGGCCGGGAACUCAAAGGAGACUGCCAGUGAUAAACUGGAGGAAGGUGGGGAUGACGUCAAGUCAUCAUGGCCCUUACGACCAGGGCUACACACGUGCUACAAUGGCGCAUACAAAGAGAAGCGACCUCGCGAGAGCAAGCGGACCUCAUAAAGUGCGUCGUAGUCCGGAUUGGAGUCUGCAACUCGACUCCAUGAAGUCGGAAUCGACUAGUAAUCGUGGAUCAGAAUGCCACGGUGAAUACGUUCCCGGGCCUUGUACACACCGCCCGUCACACCAUGGGAGUGGGUUGCAAAAGAAGUAGGUAGCUUAACCUUCGGGAGGGCGCUUACCACUUUGUGAUUCAUGACUGGGGUGAAGUCGUAACAAGGUAACCGUAGGGGAACCUGCGGUUGGAUCACCU
rnacentral:rRNA from 1 species